GACGUAGGGCGCGAGCGUUGUCCGGAUUUAUUGGGCGUAAAGGGCGCGUAGGCGGUCAGCACAAGUCAGUUGUGAAAUCUCCGGGCUUAACUCGGAAAGGUCAACUGAUACUGUGCGACUAGAGUGCAGAAGGGGCAACUGGAAUUCUCGGUGUAGCGGUGAAAUGCGUAGAUAUCGAGAGGAACACCUGCGGCGAAGGCGGGUUGCUGGGCUGACACUGACGCUGAGGCGCGAAAGCCAGGGGAGCGAACGGG
rnacentral:rRNA from 1 species